GAGCCUUCACCUUUCUGACUUUCAGUUUUUUCAUCUGUCAAGUGGGGAUUAUUAGACCUAACCUGCAUAGCAAUUUUGAAGAAAAAAGGACUGAGGACAAAUCCAACGAGCAUCACCUGGUAGUUUUGAGCCUACCUUUGUCAGCCGAGAAGAAGCAGGCCAGAGAGGAAGAAGCCCUCAGACGAAAAUGAUUCCAAUGGAAAUUGAGCUUCACAUCCAUAAAAUAGAGGGCUGCACUCAGGCUAGGGGUUGAAU